CUCCCGCCGCCCGCUCCUGCCCCGCUCCCGGCCCGGCGGCGCUGGGGCAGAGGCGGAGCUGGCACCGGCCGCGCCCCCGUCCCCAUCCCCAUCCCCACCGCGAGGUGCUGGCUCCUGAGGGGUGCCCCCCGCCGCCCCCCUGAAACAAGGGGCCGUGCAGAAAGCCGUCGUCGUCGGGCAGAAGUGGCCGGCAGCGCUGGGUCGCCGUUGCGGAGCGUCUACCUGCGGGCUGGGCUACCCCCGGGCAGGGCGCUCCCCGCGGAGUUGGGCUCCGAGAGCUUUGUGCUCGCCUGCCUUCCUGCGGGGCAGAUGCACGAUGCACGCGUGGAAGCGUUUAUCUGUGUUUACGGGAAGAGCUGUGCGGAACGGCAAGUUCCAGCCGCGAAGAAAGUCAAGGCAGAGCUGCCUUUUGUUCUCGGGCGAGUCCUAGCACUGCUUUGGGAGCUGGAGCGUGUGAGCUGCGGCACAGGAGACCGGCCCUGGACGCCAGAAGUAAUCACGAGCCUGCGACUCAUCUUUGUAAAGUUUUAAAGACGCCCCGCAGCCCCCCAGGGGGGACACACUAACUGCAAGUCCCCCUCAUCUCCUCACCCAGCAUCCUCAGAGGAUACUGACUCACUUGAUGACUGAAGUACUUGUGGUUUGGGACCUGUUUUGAGCCAAUAAUCCUGGAACCAGGGAAGUUCUCUUUUCUUUACAAAAAAAAAAAGCUUCCAGGCCAAGUUGCCAUUUGUUACAACACCAAGAAGCGUGGACAGCAAAGCUCUCAAGCUGGAAGUCUGUAAAGCAGACCAAGAUAACAUCUCAUGAAGUUAUCCAGCCACCAGUGAGAUUUUCUGACAGGGAACAACCAGGGGCUCAGCCGCGCUUAAAUACUCUCCUCUUCACACCCAGUCAGGCCAAGGACUGGCUUUGCAAGUCAUCGCUUCACCCUGCUAGGGUAAGAGGGGAUUUGCCAGCCAUGGAUGCAGACAAAUCUCAUCUAAACAUGAAAGAGGUGCAGAGCCAAGGAACCACUCCGGGAAAUUUCUUUACAAUGAACUAGCCUGCUCUCAGAUCCUUUCUCUGACGUAAAUUCCUGUUAUUUCUCUUGCACUACUUUUACACACCUGCCAUUAUUUUUGUUUUGUUCCCGGGAAGAGAUAUAUUAAAGGGCUGAACAUCUCGUGCUCAGUGCUGUGUUUAUACUUGAGCUUUUUAGCUGGAUUAGAAAUUCAACUUUUCCUACUACUCAUGUGGCAGAAUUACUGUUCUGAAAGCACCUGCCCUUAGGGAACAGAGAUAAAUAAUUCAAACUACUGAAAGUCACCUUCUCCUUCCACUGUGCUUGAUGUUUUCUGGGACCUUAUAGCAGCCCAAAUGAUCCUAACAUUUCCACUGUGUGACACAGGCACUGCUGCAAUGGGACAGCAUUUGUAAGGCCUCUUCUGCCUUCAUGCUGCACUAAAUACCUGGCACAUGGGAACAGUAAGGAUUCUCCUCGUCAGAGCACUUCAGUCAGAACUGUCAUUUUAUGUUUUCCCAGUACUUGGCCUCACCUUUGCGAGGUAGUGAUCCAGCUUCAAAGUCAAAAUCAGUCCUACAUAAGAAGUAUAUAUUUUUAGUUUUUAGUUUAAAUGUCGCCAUGUAGCGACAUUUAAUCAUCCUUUAAUAGUCUAAGUGAUUUUAAAAGGACACAUGUUGAAGUAACUAUAAAAAAAAAUAAAGUUGCAAUAUUUAAGUGUAAUAUGUUAAUAGUUUGCAAAUAGUUGAGCAGAUUAGUUAUGCAUGCAGUAAAAAAAAAAAAAAAAAAAAAAA